rnacentral:rRNA from 1 species
UUCUUUAAAUUUAAAUAUUAUGGCGGUAUUUUAGUCUGUUCAGAGGAACCUGUUCUAUAAUUGAUAGUCCACGUUUAAUUUUACUUAUAUUUUAAGUUUACAUAUCGUCGUUUAGAUCAUCUUAUAGGAGAAAAAUGUUCAAAGUUUAAAAUUAAAUAUAAGUCAGAUCAAGGUGUAGUUUAUAUAUAAGAAGAAAUGGGUUACAACUUAUUUAAUAAAUUAAUGGAUUAUAAAGAUGAAAUUUUAUAUUAAAGUGGAUUUGAUAGUAAUGAAUUUUAUAUAAUUUUUAUGAAAUUAGCUCUAAAGUAUGCACAUAUCGCCCGUCGCUUUCAUAUUAAAAUGAAAUAAGUCGUAACAAAGUAGCUUUACCGGAAGGUAAAGCUGGAAUUCAAAUUAAAGCUUUAAUAGCUUUUUAUUUACAUUAAAAUGAGUGUUUUGAUAGAUGUGAUUUGACUGAGUUGGGAGGGUUUUAUUUAAGUUUUUUGAGAGUUUAUAAAAUGAUUGAAAAAUUAGUAGGAUUUAGUUUAAUUAGAACAAUUUAAUUUUAUUAUAUGUAAAUAGUACUGUGAAGGAUUAGGAUUUUCAUUUGAAAAAAUGAAUUGAGUUUUGUACCUGGGUAUCAGGGA